UCCGGUUUAACACCGGCAGUCUCCAUAGAGUGCCCAACUGAAUGGUGGCAACUAAGGACAAGGGUUGCGCUCGUUAAGGGACUUAACCCGACAUCUCACGAUACGAGCUGACGACAGCCAUGCAGCACCUGAACCACCGGCCCCCGAAGGGGAAACUCCAUCUCUGAAGCUGUCCGGUGUUAUCUAACCCAGGUAAGGUUUUUCGCGUAGCAUCGAAUUAAACCACAUGCUCCACCGCUUGUGCGGGCCCCCGUCAAUUCCUUUGAGUUUUAACCUUGCGGCCGUACUUCCCAGGCGGGGUACUUAACGCGUUAGCUACGACACUGCGGGGGUCAAUUCCCGCAACAUCUAGUACCCAUCGUUUACAGCGUGGACUAC
rnacentral:misc_RNA from 1 species